rnacentral:rRNA from 1 species
AGCGGCGAACGGGUGAGGAACACGUGAGGAAUCUGCCUUCUACUCUGGGAUAACUCCGGGAAACCGGGGCUAAUACCGGAUAUGAAACUUGGUGGCAUCACCGAGUUUGGAAAGUUUUUCGGUAGAAGAUGACCUCGCGGCCUAUCAGCUUGUUGGUGAGGUAAUGGCUCACCAAUGCGACGACGGGUAGCCGGCCUGAGAGGGCGACCGGCCACACUGGGACUGAGACACGGCCCAGACUCCUACGGGAGGCAGCAGUGGGGAAUAUUGGGCAAUGGAGGAAACUCUGACCCAGCGACGCCGCGUGCGGGAUGAAGGCCUUCGGGUUGUAAACCGCUUUCAGCAGGGAAGAAGCGAAAGUGACGGUACCUGCAGAAGAAGCACCGGCUAACUAUGUGCCAGCAGACGCGGUAAUACAUAGGGUGCAAGCGUUGUCCGGAAUUAUUGGGCGUAAAGAGCUCGUAAGUGGUUCGUUACGUCGGAUGUGAAACUCUGGGGCUCAACCCUG